AGGUCUUUUUAAGCUGGCAGCAGUCCUCAGGUGGACCAUCCACACUCAGCACCACUGUGACUCAGGUCUGAACUGAUUUCCUCCGAGGAAGACAUGAGCCAGCAGGUGUGGCCUCCCCUCCUUUCUUCCUUCCCACAUCUUCGCUUGUUCGUCCCUCUUUCGCUGGUCCAAGUGGAAAACAGCCUUCACCCUUUAGUUGGAAGGUCAGAGUCUGAAAUCUCUGCACGCGUGGGGAAAUGGCCCCCUGGCUUUUCCCAGCUUCCGGAAACCGCCUGUGUUCCUUGGCUCACCGACUCUUCUUCAUAUCCCUGCAUUUCCUGCUGCCAUGGUCACAUCUACUUCUACUAAGUCCGAUUCUCUUGUCUCCUUUUGAAGCAUCUUCA